UGGGGAAUAUUGGACAAUGGGCGCAAGCCUGAUCCAGCCAUGCCGCGUGAGUGAUGAAGGCCCUAGGGUUGUAAAGCUCUUUCACCGGCGAAGAUAAUGACGGUAACCGGAGAAGAAGCCCCGGCUAACUUCGUGCCAGCAGCCGCGGUAAUACGAAGGGGGCUAGCGUUGUUCGGAUUUACUGGGCGUAAAGCGCACGUAGGCGGACUUUUAAGUCAGGGGUGAAAUCCCGGGGCUCAACCACGGAACUGCCUUUGAUGCUGGAAGUCUUGAGUAUGGUGGAGGUGGGUGGAAUUCCGAGUGUCGAGGUGAACUUCGUAGGUAUUCGGAGGAACACCAGUGGCGGAGGCGGCUCACUGGACCAUUACUAACGCUGAGGAGCGAAAGCGUGGGGAGCAAACAGG
rnacentral:rRNA from 1 species